CCGCACCCUGCGUCGUGCUCCCUGUCGUGGCAGCGGGCAGCGCCCUACUGCUGUUCACAAUUCCCCUGAGUCUCAUCUGGAUCUGCUGCCCUCCCAGAUGGGGAUCCCGACCCAGGAAGCCAGCACCUCGCAUCUCCCAGCAGAAUGAGCAAAAAGGAGAAGCGCUCUAUACUGGACUGACCACUCGGGAUCAGGAGACCUAUGAAAACUUUAAACCCAAGGGCAAUUAGGAGUCCCAGCAGUAGCCACUGGUGCAGCCUCUGCAAAAGGACGUGUCCUGUUGGGGAUUCAUAUGAGCUCCGCCCCAGCCCUCAAAGGAAAAACUGUUGCUGAAAUCGGUGGCCCUCAUUCUGACGUGUUGGGGAGAGGCUGAACCCCUGCUGGGAUCCCUGGAAGACGAACAUCCCGCCCUGCACAUCACUCCAUUACUCCAUUACUCUGCAGCUGCUGACUCAGUUUCCCCUGUCCCGCCUCUCUCGUAUUUCCAGCGCAGAAGAUACGCAGAUGUGCUCCCCUAAUCUUCUGUGCUUCUCAUCCAUGCCUCAAAGAGAGUCUCCACUAAGAGAGAGGUGGAUUUCCCUCCAAUAGCAACACCCUGCGCUCUUUUACAUGAGAUGCUUAAUGUGCAGUAGCCUAAUACCACUGCAAAGUAGCAUGCUGGGCAAAAGCCAUGAUAAUGAACUAUUGUGCAGUGGUAUUAGGCUACUGCACAGUAGUAUUAGGAUACUGCGCCGUAAGCAUCACUAAAAACUAGGGCUGUCAAUUAAUUGCCUUAAAAGGGUGUGCUUAACCCAUUAAUUUGUUUUUGCAUUAAUUGUUUUAACACGUGUUAAUCUCUGUUGCCAGGCCAUGAGCGCUGGGGGCAAAGUGCCCCUCCCCACUCUCUGCUGCCAGGCUGCAUGUGCGCACGUGCGUACACACACACACACACACACGCACACACACACACGCACACAGAGCCAGCAAGCAGCAGGGGGGAAAGGUUUGAUGGCCAGGUCUUGGGGAGUGUUUAGGGUGUGUGUACAUGUGUGAGGGAGGCAGGUGCCUGCCAGUGCUGGGGAAGCUAUCCAGGUGCUGGGGCUGCAGCAGAGCAGGGUGAGGCACCUGCCCCUCUGCUCUGGGGCCUAGCCUUAUACCCAGGCUUAUAUGAGGCUUUCUGGUGCCCCAUACUUGCCCUUCACUGGGGAGGCCAGGUGUGGCAUUUCCUAAAGACUGCCCUGCCACAAGCAGCCCCACCACACUAUCCUUCCCAGCAGGGUGUAGUUUUAGGUCAUUCCCCAGGACCAGGAGCGUCCUCCAUCCCCAUAGCUCCUACCCCGAACCUCCAAGCUGUUCUGGGAGCAGCCGUCAGCUGGGUGAGGUUGCUCCUUCAGCCCCCUGCAGCAACUGCCUGAAUUGAAUCAGGACCCUGUAAGCUCUCCAAAUUAAAUCAGAACCCUCUGAAUCGAUUCAGAGAGAUUCAGAAAGAGUCAGCGAUUCAGACAGAGACACAACUUUAAAUGUUUUUUCUACAUACCUCAAGGUAGCAGGUGGCUCGUGAAUGCUGUGAUGCUGGGGUGCAUGGAGUGUCCCACAGAAGUGCGGGGGA